UACAGAGGUCCCAAGCGUUGUUCGGAUUCACUGGGCGUAAAGGGUGCGUAGGUGGUCGGGUAAGUCUGAUGUGAAAUCUCCGAGCUUAACUCGGAAAUGGCAUUGGAUACUAUUCGGCUAGAGGGUUUGAGGGGGGACUGGAAUACUUGGUGUAGCAGUGAAAUGCGUAGAUAUCGUUUGGAACGCCAAUGGUGAAAACAGGUUGCUGGGAGUGUGCUGACGCUGAGACACGAAAGCCAGGGGAGCAAACGGG
rnacentral:rRNA from 1 species